CGGGGGGGGGGGCAAGCGUUGUUCGGAAUUACUGGGCGUAAAGGGCGCGUAGGCUGUCCCGCAAGUCCUCCGUGAAAUCCCACAGCUCAACUGUGGAAUUGCGAGGGAAACUGCAGGACUUGAGUUCGGGAGAGGAGAGUGGAAUUCCCAGUGUAGCGGUGAAAUGCGUAGAUAUUGGGAGGAACACCGGUGGCGAAGGCGGCUCUCUGGACCGACACUGACGCUGAGGCGCGAAAGCUAGGGGAGCAAACGGGAUUAGAUACCCCGGUAGUCCUAGCCCUAAACGAUGAGCACUUGGUGUGGCGGGUAUCGACCCCUGCCGUGCCGAAGCUAACGCAUUAAGUGCUCCGCCUGGGGAGUACGGUCGCAAAGGCUG
rnacentral:rRNA from 1 species